CUGAAAUGACUCCUGUGUUCAAACUGGCAUUACUGACAGGGAUACAACUGCAGUUUGGGUACCAGCUCUCUGGGACCUGCAACCUGCCUGGCAAGGAAACAUCAUCAGCCCUCUUAUCUGCUCCUUGCCUGAAGUCUGCCUGAAUUUCUGACUGGUGAGGCUUACUGGAAGCAGCAUCCCUGUGAGCAGGAGAGCAGCUGCUCUCAACAGAGAGAAGCAAAAGGACCAGCUAUGGUCAGGGUAUCAGUCUCCAAAACCCAGGGUGUUCCAAGAGGUUUGCUUUUGGAAUGCACCAAGAAGGGUUAUUUGGGAUGUGCAUACAAAUUCAGGAAUGAGAUGGAAAUAAGCACAGUUUUUAAAGGUAGGUUAUUUGCUAAAAAACAUCUGUGGGCCUGGGGGGGUGAUGGUGGCUCUCUGAGAGCAGCAGGCAGGGAAAGCUGGAAGGAAGUCACAUAUGGUGUUCCCAGUCCCUACAGCUGUUUGUUUUUUUCCCCCAUCCUUAAAUGCAUAUAAGAGCUUUCCCCAUUCUACUUGGUCACCACAACACAAAGAAAUAAGUUUCAGGAA